rnacentral:rRNA from 1 species
UACGUAGGGGGCGAGCGUUGUCCGGAUUUAUUGGGCGUAAAGAGCGUGUAGGCGGCCAGGUAGGUCUGCUGUGAAAACUCGAGGCUCAACCUCGAGACGUCGGCGGAAACCAUCUGGCUAGAGUCCGGAAGAGGAGAGUGGAAUUCCUGGUGUAGCGGUGAAAUGCGCAGAUAUCAGGAAGAACACCCGUGGCGAAGGCGGCUCUCUGGGGACGGUACUGACGCUGAGACGCGAAAAGCGUGGGGAGCGAACAGG